rnacentral:lncRNA from 1 species
UCCUAGAGUGCCCGAGCCGGUUCUUCCUGUGUACCCGAGCCAGUUGCACAAGUUCCCCGAGGCGAAGUCUUCAUCAUCGCCCGAAGCAAAGACUUAGUAAAUAUUCUUCUUUAAAGGUAUCAUUUCCAAGCACAUUAUCAUUUCCGAAAAAGAAGGAUCAUUUCCGAUAAACUCGGAAAUGAUAAGGAAGAAUCGCGAAGGAUCAACUCAAAUC